UACGUAGGGUGCAAGCGUUUAAUCGGAAUUACUGGGCGUAAAGCGUGCGCAGGCGGUUGUGCAAGACAGAUGUGAAAUCCCCGGGCUUAACCUGGGAACUGCAUUUGUGACUGCACGGCUAGAGUACGGUAGAGGGGGGAUGGAAUUCCGCGUGUAGCAGUGAAAUGCGUAGAUAUGUGGAGGAAUACCGAUGGCGAAGGCAGCCCCCCUGGGAUAACACUGACGCUCAUGCACGAAAGCGUGGGGAGCAAACAGG
rnacentral:rRNA from 1 species